UUUCUGAGAAUUUCCACUCUGAAUUCACAUUCCGUUCAGUGUUAUCGCCACCCUGUGGAUUUCUUGGCUACCUCACUGGCUUUGAGCACAACCCAGGAAGAAGUUUGAAACCAAGAAAAUGGUGAUUGGGAAGACCAGGAUGCGCAAUGGCAAAAAUUAAUCAGACUGAUGAAAGAAAACAUUGUAAUAUGUAUAGCUCCUCCACGAAAAGUGUUUGCUGACAACUCUGGAAUACACAGUAGGCACCCAAUACAUACAAGGGAGUAAAUGAAUGAAUUAAAGCUGUCUGUAUCUGCUGAUCGUCCACAAUUUAGACGUCCUAUACUACAUUCCAAUUGAGGGUAAGCGGGGUACGUGUCCUGAAUUUGUAGAAUCUUUUGACACAAAGCAACAGAGCCACAGUCAAGACUCAAGUCAAAAGAAAUUUAGACCCCAUCUGGGCAAACAGGCCUCUAAGCAACAAUCUAAGAUUUCCACCUAUUGUUCUGGCAUUCCUUGUAUAAAUGAUUAUGACUGCAGAGAUCUUAGGAAGUGCUGUGGUACCUUUAGAUGUGGCCUGAGGUGCAUACAUCCUCUUAUGAUUGACCCUGUAUUGUUCAAUUCACCUCCACAAUCCAAGGCAUAAAUAUUGGAUGGAGAAAUGGAUUCAGAUGGAGGCAUCAUUGAGCUUAUUCUUGACUCAUCUCAGUCCAAACA
rnacentral:lncRNA from 1 species